GUUCCUUUGGAGACAGCCAUUAAAUUUUGAACGACAUAGAGAAGAUUAGCGUGAUCCUUGCUUAAGGAUGACAAACACAAAUCUAUAAAUGGUGCAAAACAUGU